CUGUAGCAGCCUGCUGACUUGCCAACAUUACUGUGUAAUUGUUUGCACAGCAGCACACUUGUGCAACUGCAUGCAUGCAACAUUAAAAUACCCACCCAAUACUGGGCAGUAUGUCAGCCACUGCUUCUAACUCUAAAUAAUUCUCAUUGCAGAAUGAUCCAAGGAGUGCCUGUGGCACACUAUGCAGCAUGUUCCUUUGUGGUCAUCAACUGCCAGUGCAACUGCCAGUGCAGUUCACUGGUUAAUGGAUUGGACUUGGUUUGAAGGACCUGGUUUCACACCUCAUUCUCCACUUCACUGAUAGCCUUGAGCAGGUAUCUCCGCCCCCCCAAUAGAGGAGCAUUCAGAUACACAACCCACCACUUGCAAUCUGAAGUAGCUUUGCCACUGAUGAGCUCUUUGUCUAGAGUCACACUGGAGGCACCUUAACACCUGUCUACCCUUGCUUGGAGACAGUGCAAAAUUAGUUGAUAACUUCUGGGCAAGAAUGAUCUUCAAUCUGCACUGGACACAGGAUCAAGGGAUUUUUAAAAUAUCUAUCCUGUCUCAUCCAAGAGAGUCAUAAUCUACACUAGCUACAGGACUCCAUCUCUAAAAGAGAUGGGUGGAGAAAGUGACUCCAUCUGGACUGCCAGUCUAUCAUGAAGAACUGAUGGAUCGACCGUGUCUUGUCAGAUACAGAUAAGAGCAAGAAAAGAAAGCUAUGAGGGAGUUGUAAAGAGACAUCUUUCUCCAUUUGACAACAGAGCCAGGAUUAUGCAGCAGCGAGGGAGGCCAUUAACUGAUGACAUGAAAUUUGCCUUUGCAUUGCAUAAUUCCUUUUCCCUCCACAGAGGGGGUGGAAUAACGGUCCUAGAGGGACCAUUCAGACCCAGAAUGUAUUGUAAAGUUCCGGCUAGAAACAAACCAGUUUAAAUAGU